UACGGGGGGGGCAAGCGUUGUUCGGAAUUACUGGGCGUAAAGGGCUCGUAGGCGGCCAACUAAGUCAGACGUGAAAUCCCCAGGCUCAACCUGGGAACUGCGUCUGAUACUGGAUGGCUUGAAUCCGGGAGAGGGAUGCAGAAUUCCAGGUGUAGCGGUGAAAUGCGUAGAUAUCUGGAGGAAUACCGGUGGCGAAGGCGGCAUCCUGGACCGAUCACUGACGCUGAGGCGCGAAAGCUAGGGGAGCAAACGGG
rnacentral:rRNA from 1 species